rnacentral:misc_RNA from 1 species
GAUGAAGAACGCAGCGAAAUGCGAUAAGUAGUGUGAAUUGCAGAAUUCAGUGAAUCAUCGAAUCUUUGAACACACAUUGCGCCCCUUGGUAUUCCAUGGGGCAUGCCUGUUCGAGCGUCAUUUGUACCUUCAAGCUCUGCUUGGUGUUGGGUGUUUGUCUCGCCUCUGCGUGUAGACUCGCCUCAAAACAAUUGGCAGCCGGCGUAUUGAUUUCGGAGCGCAGUACAUCUCGCGCUUUGCACUCAUAACGACGACGUCCAAAAGUACAUUUUUACACUCUUGACCUCGGAUCAGGUAGGGAUACCCGCUGAACUUAAGCAUAUCAAUAAGCGGAGGA